GUGGCGGACGGGUGAGUAACACGUAGGCCACCUGCCCAGAAGCGGGGGACAACAUUUGGAAACAGAUGCUAAUACCGCAUAACAGCGUUGUUCGCAUGAACAACGCUUAAAAGAUGGCUUCUCGCUAUCACUUCUGGAUGGACCUGCGGUGCAUUAGCUUGUUGGUGGGGUAAUGGCCUACCAAGGCGAUGAUGCAUAGCCGAGUUGAGAGACUGAUCGGCCACAAUGGGACUGAGACACGGCCCAUACUCCUACGGGAGGCAGCAGUAGGGAAUCUUCCACAAUGGGCGCAAGCCUGAUGGAGCAACACCGCGUGAGUGAAGAAGGGUUUCGGCUCGUAAAGCUCUGUUGUUAAAGAAGAACACGUAUGAGAGUAACUGUUCAUACGUUGACGGUAUUUAACCAGAAAGUCACGGCUAACUACGUGCCAGCAGCCGCGGUAAUACGUAGGUGGCAAGCGUUAUCCGGAUUUAUUGGGCGUAAAGAGAGUGCAGGCGGUUUUCUAAGUCUGAUGUGAAAGCCUUCGGCUUAACCGGAGAAGUGCAUCGGAAACUGGAUAACUUGAGUGCAGAAGAGGGUAGUGGAACUCCAUGUGUAGCGGUGGAAUGCGUAGAUAUAUGGAAGAACACCAGUGGCGAAGGCGGCUACCUGGUCUGCAACUGACGCUGAGACUCGAAAGCAUGGGUAGCGAACA
rnacentral:rRNA from 1 species